rnacentral:rRNA from 1 species
UUACGGGGUGACGAUUACUGACUGAGUGGCGGACGGGUGACGUAACGCGUGGGUAACCUGCCUUGUACAGGGGGACAACAGUUGGAAACGACUGCUAAUACCGCAUAAGCGCACAGCUUCGCACUGAAGCAGUGUGAAAAGUUAUUUCGGUACAAGAUGGGACCCGCGUCUGAUUAGCCUAGUUGGUGAGGUAACGGCCCGACCAAGGCGACGAUCAGUAGCCGACCUGAGAGGGUGACCGGCCACAUUGGGACUGAGACACGGCCCAAACUCCUACGGGAGGCAGCAGUGGGGAAUAUUGCACAAUGGGCGCAAGCCUGAUGCAGCCGACGCCGCGUGAGCGAAGAAGUAUUUCGGUAUGUAAAGCUCUAUCAGCAGGGAAGAUAAUGACGGUACCUGACUAAGAAGCACCCGGCUAAAUACGUGCCAGCAGCCGC